UACGUAGGGGGCAAGCGUUGUCCGGAAUCAUUGGGCGUAAAGCGCGCGUAGGCGGCCCGGUAAGUCCGCUCUGAAAAGUCCAGGGCUCAACCCUGGAAAGCGGGUGGAUACUGCCGGGCUAGAAUCCGGAAGAGGCGAGUGGAAUUCCUGGUGUAGCGGUGAAAUGCGCAGAUACUCAGGAGGAACACCAAUGGCGAAGGCAGCUCGCUGGGACG
rnacentral:rRNA from 1 species